GACGAACGCUGGCGGCGUGCUUAACACAUGCAAGUCGAACGGAAAGGCCCUGCUUUUGUGGGGUGCUCGAGUGGCGAAAGGGUGAGUAACACGUGAGUAACCUGCCCUUGACUUUGGGAUAACUUCAGGAAACUGGGGCUAAUACCGGAUAGGAGCUCCUGCUGCAUGGUGGGGGUUGGAAAGUUUCGGCGGUUGGGGAUGGACUCGCGGCUUAUCAGCUUGUUGGUGGGGUAGUGGCUUACCAAGGCUUUGACGGGUAGCCGGCCUGAGAGGGUGACCGGCGACAUUGGGACUGAGAUACGGCCCAGACUCCUACGGGAGGCAGCAGUGGGGAAUAUUGCACAAUGGGCGGAAGCCUGAUGCAGCAACGCCGCGUGCGGGAUGACGGCCUUCGGGUUGUAACCCGCUUUCGCCUGUGACGAAGCGUGAGUGACGGUAAUGGGUAAAGAAGCACCGGCUAACUACGUG
rnacentral:rRNA from 1 species